CUACCCUUCUAACUUCCAUCCAGCCCACCAGCCCAGAGAGAAAAGAGUUCUAUUAAUUUGGGCGUGAAAUUGGUAAAAAGACAAAGCAAAAAAAUUAAAACGGCGUUACUGUCCUCCACGUUGUCUUAGAUGGGAGCCGAUUAGGCACUGGGAUUACAUUACCGUGGUUAGUCCCUUCUGGGGCUCACAGACUGCUGGUGGAAUGGACACGUGAAAGACAAACACGAGGCUCAGAGAGAGCCGUGCAGAGAUAAGGGAAACAGGAAUGAAAGCCCUCAGUUUUGUGUCAUCUAUUCACCAAAAAUGAAGUCCGAUACUUACCAAAGACUGUAGAACCAAAUGCCAGAGUCUCUUAAAGCCAUCCGAACUUCCACUGGAAUAAUCAGCAUAUGGGAAGAUUGGCCUGAAUUUAGGUACUGCAGUAUGACUUGUUUGUCCAACAAAAUGUAAAUGAAUUUUUGUCACUUCUAGUCAAUAGCAUUUAAGAACCACGUUGUAACUUUCCACGCGCUCUGCCCUUGCUGUAGUGAAUCCUGAAGCACUGUAUUGAGACACUGACUUAA